rnacentral:rRNA from 1 species
GACGAACCGUGCGAACGUUAUUCGGAAUCACUGGGCUUAAAGCGCGUGUAGGCGGGAUGGUGCGUCGACUGCUGAAAUCCCCCGGCUUAACCGGGGAACGGGCAUCGAUACGGCCAUCCUGGAGGAACGUAGGGGGACCUGGAACUUCCGGUGGAGCGGUGACAUGCGUUGAGAUCGGAAGGAACGCCCGUGGCGAAAGCGAGGUCCUGGACGUUUUCUGACGCUGAGACGCGAAAGCUAGGGGAGCGAACGGG